UCUUCCUUUCGGAGGCGAGAGAGACUGGGGUUAGGUCGGGACCUAGCGGCGGCGGCGGAGGUCGGCGGGAGCGACGAGACUGGGGCUCGUUCGUCUUCCUUCGGAGGUGCAUCGGAGGGAUGCUCCGAGGGUCACACCCAACCCGCCGCUUGGACUCAGUGACUACCGGGUCCAGAGAUGCGUACUGGAUAUUUGAAAGAUGAGAAGCCUAUUCAGUUGAAGGGUCAAGAAAUCACAAUUUCCACAGAUUAUAGCAUUAAGGGUGACAACAAGAUGAUAUUGAUGAGCUAUAAGAAGCUAGCAGUUGAUCUGAAGCCAGGCGGUGUCAUUAUGUGCUCAUGGUACCAUCACUCUUUCUGUGCUUCACUGUGACAAAGAGCAAAGUUUUGUUCGCUACUGUCGCGAGAACACUGCUAUGCUUUGUGAGAUGAAGAAGGCCUUCUCAUAAAUAUUAAGCGAGCACUUUCAAGUUUGAGGCAAUGUGCAGUUCACUGCUGAGAUUCAAACAUGUGAAAUGAAUAACAAAGGGGGUAUCAUCGAAGGUGAGAAUGUUGGAUACAUGUGGCAAUGAGAAAGAAGAAGAGGAGGAGUGCAUGCUGGUUAUCACAUACUACCUCUGUUUCAAAUAUUUUAUAUUAUUCCCUGAA